GUCUAUAGCCAUGCCACCCGAUGUCUCAUCUUGAAAGCUAAACAGGGUCAGGCCUGGUUAGUAUUUGGAUGGGAGACCACCCAGAAGACCAGGUGCUGUAGGCA
rnacentral:rRNA from 1 species